UCAUUGUGACCCAGCUGCACGACCUGGUACUUCACACUGCUGCCAACAACGUGGCAGCAACAACAACGGGUUUAUCCCAUUCAUACAGGGAAAAGGCCCUCUGCAGUUCUUUCAUUGAGCAUAGGCACAAAUCUGUAAUCUUUGAUGUAAAGAUCAUUAAGUAGUAAUCCCCCCUUUCAGUAUAGGUGAAGCCCAUUUUUACCAUGCCUUUAUCCACCUUAGACACAUCAGAAGACUUGUCAUUUUUGUCACUGACUACUUAUGUCAGUGCACUAAUUUUGCUAUAUAAGUGUUUAAAAUAAUAAUUAGAACAGAAUGAAUAAUGAAUAAGCUGAAUAAUUUAUUCAAAUAUAUUGCAAAACUUGAACAACUUAGUUGAUGAAUAUAUUUAAUAACUCACUCUGCCCCUAUCUUUGUGAAUAAUAUUUCUAAACUAGAUGAGUAAUUUGUUUUUAAAAAUUUGUAACAUUUGUUAUAUAAAUCAUCCACUUAAUAUUGUUCAACCAACUCUAAAUAAUAGUUCAUUACCAGCAAGUGCAUUCUUAAAUGGUCACUGGAGGCCCAAAUAAUCAUGUCUGAGCAUUCUGGGAAGACUUUUUGCUUAUAUAUGAUCUUUCUAAAUUAGGAACUCAUUUUUACUUUUUAGUAGACAAAAAGAAGACCAAGCAGUAGCAGAAGGGAAUAAGGAUGUCCCUCUUUUUCCUGAAGCCAUAGCAACAUGCCCAGCUUCAGAUGGGAUGAAAGCUACCACACAUGAAGUAGUACAGGAGGACAGAAGUGAAAUUAUGCCCAAAUUCCUGCUCCCUCAUCCCCAGUUGUCACAUUCAUAUUUUCUGAAAAAUUCCUUCGCCCAGGAUUUUUCUCCUGGGAAGCUGAGAAGCCUCAGAGGAAAAGGAAAACAAUUCCAUUCAAUUUGCUUCUCCUGUGUUUUGCGGCUUUGGAAUGUGUUUGGAGCUUGUUUACCAACAGCUCAGCUUGGCUGGACUUCCAGGAAUGCAGCCUGUGAACUGAACCAGUGCAACUUCACAGCUCCUUCUACAAUGUAACUUUGAUGUUAUUUCACCUCACAAGGCAAAAUAGAGACUUUGCAUUAUUGGCUGUUCAGGAUUCCAGUGGUGCUGCCACCAAAAGGUUAACCAAAGCAGAGGAAAAACAACUAAUCCAUAUUUGGUAUUAUGCCAUCAAUACCUUCCCAGAAAGAGGCAGCAUGUUCUCCUUGAGGGAUAUAAUACAGGUUUUUAGGGGGAAUCACAGUAUAAGAUAUCCAGAGGGAUUUUCCAUCAGUUUGACAGUUCUUCACUGAAACCUCCUCUUCCUUGGUCCUUGGAAGUUUUGCAUUGAAAAGUGGUAGAAUCAUAGAAUCAUCAAGAUUGGAAGAGACCUUCAAGUUCAUCUAGUUCAACCACAAACCCAGCACAACCAUAAUCACCUCUAAACCAUACCCUCAAGUGCCACAUCCAAAUACUCCAGAUCCUUCUGCAGCCUCAUUGCCCUUCUCUGGACACUCCUCAGCACCUCCUUGUUGUGAGAGGCCCAAAACUGAUUCAAGGUGCAGCCUCACCAGUGCUGAGUACAGGGGGAUAAUCACUGCCCUGUGCCUGCUGGCCACA